rnacentral:lncRNA from 1 species
CCGUACAAGCCUUAUCUCCCCACUGUCGGGAUAGACCCAUCUAGAGUCAGGCCUCUUCUUGCCAAUUGUGGUGUAAACAGUCCUUCCUGUUUCUAAGGUAAAAAAUCAAAGUAACCUCAGGAUUUUCUCACUUGUUUAUGUAAAGAGAGAAAAUCUUACGUUUGUUUUGUUGUUCCUUCUGUAACACGCAGCAUGAAGAACUGAGCUGAAGUCAGGCCCAGUCUCCCACAGACUUUGUCUUGCCCUGAAGUCUCUAAGCUAUAAAUAUGUCUUUUGCUGUUCUGAUUCGCAUAAAUAUCAACUUUGCAGUGAUUUUUCAGUCACCUUAUCUAUUAUAUAGAUGAACCAUGUUCUACUAUUAAUGAAAUGAAAUAAAGUACUUGUUUUUUUGCUAACUCCAUUGUGUACUACUUUCUUGAGUAUUUAAAAAUUGACUCCUUAUGUAUCUUCCGUGCAAAGAACCCAAAUCAUAAUAUUAAGAGAUGUAAAAUACAUUUGACAAAUAACAAAAUAACUAGGCAUUUGUAGUUGACAAUAUUUGAAAGUGACUACACAAUAUGAUAGCAUCUUAACAUUACUUUUUAGAUCUAAUGUUGUCUUAAUCCAUUACUAGUAAUGUCGAAAUGUACUCUGUUUCUCACAUUUUUAUUAAAUUUUCAUUUAUGAAAAGAGAGAGAUAGAGCAAAAAAAAAGCCAAUAAGUCUCCCACAUGUCUCUUUGCAACUUGCAGAUAUUUCAACUCAAAAGACGACUUGACUUGACUUAAGGUCCAUAUCAUACUUAUGGUUGAACCAAGAAAAAAAAAGAGACGACUAGACUAGUAGAAGACUAAUGAGUCUGCAACCCAUACCAUACGCUCAAUCUAACUUGUAUAAUAAGCUCAUUAGAUUUAAGGAUCAUAUGGAAUAGUCAAGAGAGAAUGGAUACGAACAAUACCAGAACUGUGAAAUUUGCAGCUCUUGCAAUAGUUUUAGCCGCCUUGGUGUUGAUGGAAGAACCUACGAGCAUUACCGCAUGUAACAUCAACGCAAACCAU